rnacentral:rRNA from 1 species
CGUGCAGGCGGUUUUGUAAGUUGGAGGUUAAAUCUCUCGGCUUAACUGAGAGGCGUCCUUCAAAACUGCAGGGCUUGAGGAUGGGAGAGGGAAGUGGAAUUCCCGGUGUAGUGGUGGAAUGCGUAGAGAUCGGGAGGAACACCAGUGGCGAAGGCGGCUUCCUGGCCCAUACCUGACGCUAAGACGCGAAAGCGUGGGGAGCGAACG